GGAGAGGGAGGAAUUUGUUGGGAGCCAUUAGAAAUUACAUAUACAUCUUCAGCUUACAACACAAUAGGUUUCUGGUCCCCCCAAGCCAGCUCCUGGGAACCAAUUAAGCCUUGUGGUUUAGCCUGGAGUUAAAAGAUAACCUACCCUCACCCUAAGUACACAGCUGCUAAAUCUCCGCUGACAAGCACACAUCUCCACUGAUAAGCACACAGCCAUCCGGAGCCUGCUAAAUCUCUAGUGAUAGGUUACCGCCCAUGGACCCCUUUA